AAAAAACCUACAGAGUUGUGCUCCUGUUCUGUAAAUGAAGGACCUAAAAGUGAAGCUUUUGUCCAUAGCUACAUCACUAAGACUCAGGAAAGUAAGGGUUUUCUUGUCGUGUGGACACAGAGGAAAUAUCCAGCAAGCAAAUACUGACCCUCGCAUGCAAGCAGAUCCAUUUCCUUUUUCCGCUUGACAACUUCCUUCCUGCCUGCUAGGAACAAAUCUACUCUUCAUUUUUUCCGGAGUUCUUUAUACAGGCCACUCAGAAAGCCCUUGGGUAGAAGACAAACAUUUUAUUAAUGUAAACUUCAUCUAACAGCUGGAUAAUCAUGCAGCGAGACUCAGAUUUACAGCAGAGAAUUGUUUGCUUCUUUUAACUAUAGUGAUACUGGAGCUGAGUCACUAAAUACUCCAUGCCAGGGAAUAAUGCAGAGUUUACAGAGCUUUCUGCCCUCUGCAUAAACUUAAAAAUAAAUUAAAAUAAAAUAAAACA
rnacentral:lncRNA from 1 species